rnacentral:lncRNA from 1 species
UGAAAUAGGUUUUGAAUUGUUACCCAUUUUGGGUACUUCUGACUUGGUUGAUGGAUGAUUCUCCAUUGCUCGAGUGUAGGAGACCCGGUAUGCCUCGAGGGUAUUUUUGUCCUUUUUGUCCAAAAAACUCACGUGUCGCCUUGUGAAUAUUUUUGGCUCCACAAAUGCCCCCACACCUGUUGGGUUGCUCGCAGAAAAGGGCGGCAGGUGUAGAGAUUUUCUUGCUUUAGGAAACUUAGGACUGCUUCCUAUUUUGAUGUAGAUUCUCUCUUUAAUAGGAAAUUAGAUCCUUC